rnacentral:rRNA from 1 species
GAGUUUGAUCAUGGCUCAGGAUGAACGCUGGCGGCGUGCUUAACACAUGCAAGUCGAACGAACCUUCGGGUUAGUGGCGGACGGGUGAGUAACGCGUGGGAAUCUGCCCUCAGGAGGGGGAUAACGGUUGGAAACGACCGCUAAUACCCCAUAUGCCGAGAGGUGAAAUGAAUUUCGCCUGAGGAUGAGCCCGCGUCUGAUUAGCUUGUUGGUGAGGUAAUGGCUCACCAAGGCAUCGAUCAGUAGCUGGUCUGAGAGGAUGAUCAGCCACACUGGGACUGAGACACGGCCCAGACACCUACGGGAGGCAGCAGUGGGGAAUUUUCCGCAAUGGGCGAAAGCCUGACGGAGCAACGCCGCGUGAGGGACGAAGGCCUCUGGGCUGUAAACCUCUUUUCUCAAGGAAGAAGAUAUGACGGUACUUGAGGAAUAAGCCACGGCUAAUUCCGUGCCAGCAGCCGCGGUAAUACGGGAGUGGCAAGCGUUAUCCGGAAUUAUUGGGCGUAAAGCGUCCGCAGGCGGCCUUUCAAGUCUGCUGUUAAAACGUGGAGCUUAACUCCAUCAUGGCAGUGGAAACUGAUUGGCUUGAGUAUGGUAGGGGCAGAGGGAAUUCCCGGUGUAGCGGUGAAAUGCGUAGAUAUCGGGAAGAACACCAGUGGCGAAGGCGCUCUGCUGGGCCAUUACUGACGCUCAUGGACGAAAGCCAGGGGAGCGAAAGGGAUUAGAUACCCCUGUAGUCCUGGCCGUAAACGAUGAACACUAGGUGUCGGGGGAAUCGACCCCUUCGGUGUCGUAGCUAACGCGUUAAGUGUUCCGCCUGGGGAGUACGCACGCAAGUGUGAAACUCAAAGGAAUUGACGGGGGCCCGCACAAGCGGUGGAGUAUGUGGUUUAAUUCGAUGCAACGCGAAGAACCUUACCAGGGCUUGACAUCCUGCGAACCUUUAAGAAAUUAGAGGGUGCCUUCGGGAACGCAGUGACAGGUGGUGCAUGGCUGUCGUCAGCUCGUGUCGUGAGAUGUUGGGUUAAGUCCCGCAACGAGCGCAACCCACGUUUUUAGUUGCCAGCAUUUAGUUGGGCACUCUAGAAAGACCGCCGGUGAUAAACCGGAGGAAGGUGUGGAUGACGUCAAGUCAUCAUGCCCCUUACGUCCUGGGCUACACACGUACUACAAUGCUACGGACAAAGGGCAGCAAACUCGCGAGAGCUAGCAAAUCCCAUAAACCGUGGCUCAGUUCAGAUCGUAGGCUGCAACUCGCCUACGUGAAGUAGGAAUCGCUAGUAAUCGCAGGUCAGCAUACUGCGGUGAAUACGUUCCCGGGCCUUGUACACACCGCCCGUCACACCAUGGAAGUUGGCCACGCCCGAAGUCGUUACUUUAACCCUUGUGGAGAAGGACGCCGAAGGUGGGGCUGAUGACUGGGGUGAAGUCGUAACAAGGUAACC